rnacentral:rRNA from 1 species
AUACGUAGGGGGCGAGCGUUGUCCGGAAUGACUGGGCGUAAAGGGCGUGUAGGCGGCCGAUUAAGUCUGGAGUGAAAGUCCUGCAUUCAAUGUGGGAAUUGCUUUGGAGACUGGUUGGCUUGAGUGCGGAAGAGGUAAGUGGAAUUCCCAGUGUAGCGGUGAAAUGCGUAGAGAUUGGGAGGAACACCAGUGGCGAAGGCGACUUACUGGGCCGUAACUGACGCUGAGGCGCGAAAGCGUGGGGAGCGAACAGGAUUAGAUACCCUGGUAGUCCACGCGGUAAACGAUGAAUGCUAGGUGUUGCGGGUAUCGACCCCUGCAGUGCCGGAGUAAACACAAUAAGCAUUCCGCCUGGGGAGUACGGCCGCAAGGUUGAAACUCAAAUGAAUUGACGGGG